rnacentral:rRNA from 1 species
GAGUUUGAUUAUGGCUCAGGAUGAACGCUAGCGGCAGGCCUAACACAUGCAAGUCGAGGGGUAGGGUGCUUCGGCACUUGAGACCGGCGCACGGGUGCGUAACACGUGUACAAUCUACCUUUUGCUAAGGGAUAGCCCGAAGAAAUUUGGAUUAAUACCUUAUAGUAUUGUUUGGUGGCAUCACUAAAUAAUUAAAGCUCUGGUGGCAAAAGAUGAGUACGCGUUCCAUUAGCUAGUUGGUGUGGUAACGGCAUACCAAGGCUAUGAUGGGUAGGGGUCCUGAGAGGGAGGUCCCCCACACUGGUACUGAGACACGGACCAGACUCCUACGGGAGGCAGCAGUGAGGAAUAUUGGACAAUGGUCGGAAGACUGAUCCAGCCAUGCCGCGUGCAGGAUGACGGCCUUAUGGGUUGUAAACUGCUUUUAUACAGGAAGAAUAAGGUUCUACGUGUAGAUUGAUGACGGUACUGUAUGAAUAAGCUCGCA